rnacentral:rRNA from 1 species
UUAAGCGACUAAGCGUACACGGUGGAUGCCCUGGCAGUCAGAGGCGAUGAAGGACGUGCUAAUCUGCGAUAAGCGUCGGUAAGGUGAUAUGAACCGUUAUAACCGGCGAUUUCCGAAUGGGGAAACCCAGUGUGAUUCGUCACACUAUCAUUAACUGAAUCCAUAGGUUAAUGAGGCGAACCGGGGGAACUGAAACAUCUAAGUACCCCGAGGAAAAGAAAUCAACCGAGAUUCCCCCAGUAGCGGCGAGCGAACGGGGAGCAGCCCAGAGCCUGAAUCAGUGUGUGUGUUAGUGGAAGCGUCUGGAAAGGCGCGCGAUACAGGGUGACAGCCCCGUACACAAAAAUGCACAUGCUGUGAGCUCGAUGAGUAGGGCGGGACACGUGGUAUCCUGUCUGAAUAUGGGGGGACCAUCCUCCAAGGCUAAAUACUCCUGACUGACCGAUAGUGAACCAGUACCGUGAGGGAAAGGCGAAAAGAACCCCGGCGAGGGGAGUGAAAAAGAACCUGAAACCGUGUACGUACAAGCAGUGGGAGCACGCUUAGGCGUGUGACUGCGUACCUUUUGUAUAAUGGGUCAGCGACUUAUAUUCUGUAGCAAGGUUAACCGAAUAGGGGAGCCGAAGGGAAACCGAGUCUUAACUGGGCGUUAAGUUGCAGGGUAUAGACCCGAAACCCGGUGAUCUAGCCAUGGGCAGGUUGAAGGUUGGGUAACACUAACUGGAGGACCGAACCGACUAAUGUUGAAAAAUUAGCGGAUGACUUGUGGCUGGGGGUGAAAGGCCAAUCAAACCGGGAGAUAGCUGGUUCUCCCCGAAAGCUAUUUAGGUAGCGCCUCGUGAAUUCAUCUCCGGGGGUAGAGCACUGUUUCGGCAAGGGGGUCAUCCCGACUUACCAACCCGAUGCAAACUACGAAUACCGGAGAAUGUUAUCACGGGAGACACACGGCGGGUGCUAACGUCCGUCGUGAAGAGGGAAACAACCCAGACCGCCAGCUAAGGUCCCAAAGUCAUGGUUAAGUGGGAAACGAUGUGGGAAGGCCCAGACAGCCAGGAUGUUGGCUUAGAAGCAGCCAUCAUUUAAAGAAAGCGUAAUAGCUCACUGGUCGAGUCGGCCUGCGCGGAAGAUGUAACGGGGCUAAACCAUGCACCGAAGCUGCGGCAGCGACGCUUAUGCGUUGUUGGGUAGGGGAGCGUUCUGUAAGCCUGCGAAGGUGUGCUGUGAGGCAUGCUGGAGGUAUCAGAAGUGCGAAUGCUGACAUAAGUAACGAUAAAGCGGGUGAAAAGCCCGCUCGCCGGAAGACCAAGGGUUCCUGUCCAACGUUAAUCGGGGCAGGGUGAGUCGACCCCUAAGGCGAGGCCGAAAGGCGUAGUCGAUGGGAAACAGGUUAAUAUUCCUGUACUUGGUGUUACUGCGAAGGGGGGACGGAGAAGGCUAUGUUGGCCGGGCGACGGUUGUCCCGGUUUAAGCGUGUAGGCUGGUUUUCCAGGCAAAUCCGGAAAAUCAAGGCUGAGGCGUGAUGACGAGGCACUACGGUGCUGAAGCAACAAAUGCCCUGCUUCCAGGAAAAGCCUCUAAGCAUCAGGUAACAUCAAAUCGUACCCCAAACCGACACAGGUGGUCAGGUAGAGAAUACCAAGGCGCUUGAGAGAACUCGGGUGAAGGAACUAGGCAAAAUGGUGCCGUAACUUCGGGAGAAGGCACGCUGAUAUGUAGGUGAAGUCCCUCGCGGAUGGAGCUGAAAUCAGUCGAAGAUACCAGCUGGCUGCAACUGUUUAUUAAAAACACAGCACUGUGCAAACACGAAAGUGGACGUAUACGGUGUGACGCCUGCCCGGUGCCGGAAGGUUAAUUGAUGGGGUUAGCGCAAGCGAAGCUCUUGAUCGAAGCCCCGGUAAACGGCGGCCGUAACUAUAACGGUCCUAAGGUAGCGAAAUUCCUUGUCGGGUAAGUUCCGACCUGCACGAAUGGCGUAAUGAUGGCCAGGCUGUCUCCACCCGAGACUCAGUGAAAUUGAACUCGCUGUGAAGAUGCAGUGUACCCGCGGCAAGACGGAAAGACCCCGUGAACCUUUACUAUAGCUUGACACUGAACAUUGAGCCUUGAUGUGUAGGAUAGGUGGGAGGCUUUGAAGUGUGGACGCCAGUCUGCAUGGAGCCGACCUUGAAAUACCACCCUUUAAUGUUUGAUGUUCUAACGUUGACCCGUAAUCCGGGUUGCGGACAGUGUCUGGUGGGUAGUUUGACUGGGGCGGUCUCCUCCUAAAGAGUAACGGAGGAGCACGAAGGUUGGCUAAUCCUGGUCGGACAUCAGGAGGUUAGUGCAAUGGCAUAAGCCAGCUUGACUGCGAGCGUGACGGCGCGAGCAGGUGCGAAAGCAGGUCAUAGUGAUCCGGUGGUUCUGAAUGGAAGGGCCAUCGCUCAACGGAUAAAAGGUACUCCGGGGAUAACAGGCUGAUACCGCCCAAGAGUUCAUAUCGACGGCGGUGUUUGGCACCUCGAUGUCGGCUCAUCACAUCCUGGGGCUGAAGUAGGUCCCAAGGGUAUGGCUGUUCGCCAUUUAAAGUGGUACGCGAGCUGGGUUUAGAACGUCGUGAGACAGUUCGGUCCCUAUCUGCCGUGGGCGCUGGAGAACUGAGGGGGGCUGCUCCUAGUACGAGAGGACCGGAGUGGACGCAUCACUGGUGUUCGGGUUGUCAUGCCAAUGGCACUGCCCGGUAGCUAAAUGCGGAAGAGAUAAGUGCUGAAAGCAUCUAAGCACGAAACUUGCCCCGAGAUGAGUUCUCCCUGACUCCUUGAGAGUCCUGAAGGAACGUUGAAGACGACGACGUUGAUAGGCCGGGUGUGUAAGCGCAGCGAUGCGUUGAGCUAACCGGUACUAAUGAACCGUGAGGCUUAACCU